GUGAGAACAGGGGCAAGCAUUGGCCUGGGUACUCAGCGCUGCUGCCUCUGGAAGGUCCAAGUUCUUCAGGAGAUUUUAGUGGAUGAGAAGGAAGUAGCCUUGGUGAAGCUCUAUGGUUCCGAAUGCAAGUGGAGAAAAGGGCAGCCGGCAUGUGGGAAGACUGAAAGGCAAAGAUCAUCCCAGUGAGACCCAGAUUUCAGCUGAGGUCUGGGGGCUGAGAGAGUCUACCAUGGAGUAGAAGUCCAGAAGAGGUCAGAGAGGAUGAAGAGAGCCAGAAAUGGGCAUUGGGUCAAUCAAGCAAGCCAUGCUUCUGCCCUGCAAAGCCUCCGUAUCAUACCCAAAAAAUCACAAGUAAGUAAGUAAGAGCUUCAAAUAACUUUUCUCCCUCAGCCAAGGUUAACUAUAAAAUGACCCAAAUAUGCUUAACAGACCAAAAAAAAAAAAAAGUAUUGGCUAAUGAAUGGAACUAUUUACAACUCUAUUUUUGCAAAUAGAAUCAAAAGCUAGAUAUUGAAUUAAGUGAAUUGUUUCUACAGUUUAAACAGGAAGCAGAAUUGGUUUCCCACAGAGCCAUUUGCCUGACAAGAUAGGAGGGACAAGGAAGGGGAGAGACC